rnacentral:rRNA from 1 species
GAUGAACGCUGGCGGCGUGCCUAAUACAUGCAAGUCGAGCGAACAGACGAGGAUCUUGCUCCUCUGACGUUAGCGGCGGACGGGUGAGAAACACGUGGAUAACCUCCCUAUAAGACGGGGAUAACUUCGGGAAACCGGAGCUAAUACCGGAGAAUAUAUUGAACCGCAUGGGUCAAUAGUGAAAGACGGUUUUGCUGUCACUUAUAGAUGGAUCCGCGCCGUAUUAGCUAGUUGGUGAGUUAACGGCUUACUAAGGCGAGGAGGCGUAGCCGACCUGAGAGGGUGAUCGCCCACACUGGAGCUGAGACGCGCUCCAUGCUCCUACGAGACGCAGCAGUCGCGAAUCUUCCGCAGAAGGCGGAAGCAUGACGGAGCAACGCCGCGUGAGUGAUGAAGGUCUUCGGAUCGUAAAGAUCUCUUAUUAGGGAAGAACAGAUGUGUAAGUAACUAUGCACGUCUUGACGGUACCUAAUCAGAAAGCCACGGCUAACUACGUG